rnacentral:misc_RNA from 1 species
AUAGGCUUUUAGUACAUUUCCGUGCAACAAUGCACCAUUAGACAAGAACAUGCACAAGCUCACCGCUCACCACUCACACCUCAAAAAGAAGCAGCCAAAACCCCCACAAUAAAACCCUAAACCGUCUUUUGGCCUUCUCUCUUCCUCUGAACAUAUUGAUCACAUGAUGGAACAUCCAUUAACAUUUUCAUCACUGAAAUAGUAGAAA